rfam:Medicago truncatula strain A17 chromosome 3, whole genome shotgun sequence.
UUAUAAGAAACAAUUCACUUUUUACGUUCAUUGAAUAACUGAUGUAUAUGGUCCUUAUUAUAGACCAGAUACAUCAGUUAUUCAAUGAACCUAAAAAGUGAAUUGCUUCUUAUAA